rnacentral:rRNA from 1 species
UCCGCAGGCGGUCCGGUGUGUCGGAUGUGAAAGCUCACAGCUCAACUGUGGAAUUGCAUUCGAAACUGCCGGACUAGAGUACUGGAGGGGUGAAGGGAACACUUGGUGUAGCGGUGAAAUGCGUAGAUAUCAAGUGGAACACCGGAGGCGAAGGCGCUUCACUAGACAGAUACUGACGCUCAUGGACGAAAGCUAGGGUAGCGAAAG